rnacentral:rRNA from 1 species
CACGCUGUAAACGAUGUCGAUUUGGAGUUUGUUGCCUAGAGUGAUGGGCUCCGAAGCUAACGCGAUAAAUCGACCGCCUGGGGAGUACGGCCGCAAGGUUAAAACUCAAAUGAAUUGACGGGGGCCCGCACAAGCGGUGGAGCAUGUGGUUUAAUUCGAUGCAACGCGAAGAACCUUACCUGGUCUUGACAUCCAUAGAAUUCUGCAGAGAUGUGGGAGUGCCUUCGGGAACUAUGAGACAGGUGCUGCAUGGCUGUCGUCAGCUCGUGUUGUGAAAUGUUGGGUUAAGUCCCGCAACGAGCGCAACCCUUAUUCUUUGUUGCCAGCGAUUUGGUCGGGAACUCAAAGGAGACUGCCGUUGAUAAAGCGGAGGAAGGUGGGGACGACGUCAAGUCAUCAUGGCCCUUACGACCAGGGCUACACACGUGCUACAAUGGCGUAUACAAAGGGAAGCGAAGGUGCGAGCUGGAGCGGAUCUCAUAAAGUACGUCUAAGUUCGGAUUGGAGUCUGCAACUCGACUCCAUGAAGUCGGAAUCGCUAGUAAUCGUAGAUCAGAAUGCUACGGUGAAUACGUUCCCGGGCCUUGUACACACCGCCCGUCACACCAUGGGAGUGGGUUGCACCAGAAGUAGAUAGCUUAACCGCGAGGGGGGCGUUUACCACGGUGUGAUUCAUGACUGGGGUGAAGUCGUAACAAGGUAACCA